UGGGGAAUAUUGGACAAUGGGGGGAACCCUGAUCCAGCCAUGCCGCGUGUGUGAAGAAGGCCUUAUGGUUGUAAAGCACUUUAAGCGAGGAGGAGGGUACUGGUAUUAAUACUACCAGCUACUGGACGUUACUCGCAGAAUAAGCACCGGCUAACUCUGUGCCAGCAGCCGCGGUAAUACAGAGGGUGCGAGCGUUAAUCGGAUUUACUGGGCGUAAAGCGUGCGUAGGCGGCUAAUUGAGUCGGAUGUGAAAUCCCCGAGCUUAACUUGGGAAUUGCAUUAGAUACGGGUUAGCUAGAGUGUGGGAGAGGAUGGUAGAAUUCCGGGUGUAGCGGUGAAAUGCGUAGAGAUCUGGAGGAAUACCGAUGGCGAAGGCAGCCAUCUGGCCUAACACUGACGCUGAGGUACGAAAGCAUGGGGAGCAAACAGG
rnacentral:rRNA from 1 species